rnacentral:rRNA from 1 species
UGGGGAAUAUUGGACAAUGGGCGCAAGCCUGAUGCAGCAACGCCGCGUGAGGGACGACGGCCUUCGGGUUGUAAACCUCUUUUAGUAGGGAAGAAGCGAAAGUGACGGUACCUGCAGAAAAAGCACCGGCUAACUACGUGCCAGCAGCCGCGGUAAUACGUAGGGUGCGAGCGUUGUCCGGAAUUAUUGGGCGUAAAGAGCUCGUAGGCGGUCUGUCGCGUCUGCUGUGAAAACCCGAGGCUCAACCUCGGGCCUGCAGUGGGUACGGGCAGACUAGAGUGCGGUAGGGGAGAAUGGAAUUCCUGGUGUAGCGGUGGAAUGCGCAGAUAUCAGGAGGAACACCGAUGGCGAAGGCAGUUCUCUGGGCCGUAACUGACGCUGAGGAGCGAAAGCGUGGGGAGCGAACAGGAUUAGAUACCCUGGUAGUCCACGCCGUAAACGUUGGGCGCUAGAUGUGGGGACCAUUCCACGGUUUCCGUGUCGCAGCUAACGCAUUAAGCGCCCCGCCUGGGGAGUACGGCCGCAAGGCUAAAACUCAAAGGAAUUGACGGGGUCAUAGCUGUUUCCU